rnacentral:hammerhead_ribozyme from 1 species
AUGCAGCUGACGAGUCCCAAAUAGGACGAAGCGCACGCCAUGAU